AUGUCCGUCGUUUACGGCCCCCAAGAGGACGAGGAAAAGAUCGCCUUCCUGCAGGAGAUCCGCGAUAUACGCGCGGACUGCCCCGGGCCGUGGAUGCUCUGCGGUGACUUUAACUUGAUCUUACGCGAUGAAGACAAGAAUAACGGCAAAUCGCCGUAUGAUGGGAAGAUUCCGCCGCCUCGUCAACGACCUCGCGCUCAAGGAGGUAUACCUCAAUGGAAGACGAUUCACGUGGUCCAACGAGCAAACUCCGCCCACCCUGGUGCACCUGGACCGCGUGUUUUGCACCGUGGACUGGGAGGACGCGCAUGGUGA
rnacentral:rRNA from 1 species